UACGAGAGGCCCAAACGUUAUUCGGAUUUACUGGGCUUAAAGAGUUCGUAGGCGGCGCAGAAAGUAGGGUGUGAAAACCCUCGGCUCAACCGAGGAAUUGCGCUCUAAACUACUGUGCUUGAGGAAGCUAGAGGUGAGCGGAACUGAUGGUGGAGCGGUGAAAUGCGUUGAUAUCAUCAGGAACACCGGAGGCGAAGGCGGCUCACUGGGGCUUAUCUGACGCUGAGGAACAAAAGCCAGGGGAGCGAACGGG
rnacentral:rRNA from 1 species